UACGAGGGGGGCAAGCGUUGUUCGGAAUUAUUGGGCGUAAAGGGCGCGUAGGCGGUGCGGUAAGUCUGAUGUGAAAUCUCCGGGCUCAACUCGGAGUCUGCAUCAGAAACUGCCGUGCUCGAGUGUGGGAGAGGUGAGUGGAACUCCCGGUGUAGCGGUGAAAUGCGUAGAUAUCGGGAGGAACACCUGUGGCGAAAGCGGCUCACUGGACCACAACUGACGCUGAGGCGCGAAAGCUAGGGGAGCAAACAGG
rnacentral:rRNA from 1 species